rnacentral:rRNA from 1 species
UAGUUAGUUGGUGGGUAAAGGCCUACCAAGACAAUGAUGCAUAGCCGAGUUGAGAGACUGAUCGGCCACAUUGGGACUGAGACACGGCCCAAAUUCCUACGGGAGGCUGCAGUAGGGAAUCUUCCACAAUGGGCGAAAGCCUGAUGGAGCAACGCCGCGUGUGUGAUGAAGGCUUUCGGGUCGUAAAGCACUGUUGUAUGGGAAGAAAAGUUAAGGUAGGGAAUGACCUUAGCCUGACGGUACCAUACCAGAAAGGGACGGCUAAAUACGUGCCAGCAGCCGCGGUAAUACGUAUGUCCCGAGCGUUAUCCGGAUUUAUUGGGCGUAAAGCGAGCGCAGACGGUUGGUUAAGUCUGAUGUGAAAGCCCGGAGCUCAACUCCGGAAAGGCAUUGGAAACUGGUUAACUUGAGUGCAGUAGAGGUAAGUGGAACUCCAUGUGUAGCGGUGGAAUGCGUAGAUAUAUGGAAGAACACCAGCGGCGAAGGCGGCUUACUGGACUGUAACUGACGUUGAGGCUCGAAAGUGUGGGUAGCAAACAGGAUUAGAUACCCUGGUAGUCCACACCGUAAACGAUGAACACUAGGUGUUAGGAGGUUUCCGCCUCUUAGUGCCGAAGCUAACGCAUUAAGUGUUCCGCCUGGGGAGUACGACCGCAAGGUUGAAACUCAAAGGAAUUGACGGGGACCCGCACAAGCGGUGGAGCAUGUGGUUUAAUUCGAAGCAACGCGAAGAACCUUACCAGGUCUUGACAUCCUUUGAAGCUUUUAGAAAUAGAAGUGUUCUCUUCGGAGACAAAGUGACAGGUGGUGCAUGGUCGUCGUCAGCUCGUGUCGUGAGAUGUUGGGUUAAGUCCCGCAACGAGCGCAACCCUUAUUGUUAGUUGCCAGCAUUCAGAUGGGCACUCUAGCGAGACUGCCGGUGACAAACCGGAGGAAGGCGGGGACGACGUCAGAUCAUCAUGCCCCUUAUGACCUGGGCUACACACGUGCUACAAUGGCGUAUACAACGAGUUGCCAACCUGCGAAGGUGAGCUAAUCUCUUAAAGUACGUCUCAGUUCGGACUGCAGUCUGCAACUCGACUGCACGAAGUCGGAAUCGCUAGUAAUCGCGGAUCAGCACGCCGCGGUGAAUACGUUCCCGGGUCUUGUACACACCGCCCGUCACACCAUGGAAGUUUGUAAUGCCCAAAGCCGGUGGCCUAACCGUAAGGAGGAACC